GUCUCAGAGUCUGACCUUCAGAGGCAGCAUAACAUGACAUCUGACAUCCUGAAUAAACACAAGUCCCAGAGGCCCUUGAGUCGAACUCCAUCCAGUACCGUUUGUGCUGUUUACCUGGAGAAGAAAGAUGAAGGUGCAGUGGUGCUUGUUCAGGUGGAUGUUUAAUCUUAACUCAAACUUAAAUUUAUGUACUUAAGUUCUUUACUUGUGAACUUCUCAAUUAGUGUAAGUUCUUUAUAGAUGAAGAUUUUCUUUGUGUGUACUGUGUGUGUUAGAUUGCAGCGGAUAUGACGGUAGCGAAGUUGGUUUCUGUGGUUUUGGAGCUUAAAAGAAUUCAGCAGGCUAGUGAAGAGUUCUGGAGCUGCUAUGAAGUUCUAGAGAAAGAGGACAUGGGUGAGAUUUCACCCUUUUUAAUUUUUAUUUCAGUUGUUUUUCUGCUUAAUUUGUUUAUUCAUUCUAAGUGCCAUGAUGAUUUGCUUUACUUGUAUUGACGCUGGUUUUGUUCUGUUAAGAGACAACAGCUACCAAUUUCAAAUGCAAAAUUUCACACAAAAUACAAACUUUAUCAUAAAACUGGCCAAUAACUAAUUCCAUCAUUCUUGUUUGAAUUAAAAGUGCAUUUUAACUUAGACGUCAUUUAAUUAAUACCUACUAUUCUGUAAUUCAAAAACAUGGUGUCACAUUUAAAAUGCAUAGUAUAGGCAAAUUCACACAUUUAAAAUAGCAUAGUAUAGGCAAAUUACACACUGCACCAGCAGACGCAGGCAAAUUGCAACAAACACAGUCUUCGGGUUUUGUUGUAUCAGUGUGGUACCCAUUUAGCCAUCUGUUGCUGCUUGUUUUUGUCAACUGAACAAGUUGAAUAUGUGUUUUUUUGGGUCAUGGAAAGUCUGAGUAGUGACACAAUGUACGCAGUUGGCUAUUGGUGCAGUGUGAAUUAGCCUUAUGCAGAUGAGACCUUGUCUGUUGACUGUGACUCUGAAUGUGGUUUCUGUGGCUGUUUGAUGUACAUAGAAAUUUAGAAAUUCAGUUGGCUGAAUGUAUUCAUUGUAUUCUGAUUUGUUUUAUAAUAGAGAGGACUCUGCAUUACCAGGAAAGAGUGCUGCCAAUCUAUUUCUCACUUAGUUGUCACUCUCACCUGCUGAUAAAGAGGAAUCAUUAUAUCGUCAGCAUCAAGAGUUACCUGGAAAUAGAAAACCACAGACGCUUUUUCUGUUCCUCGACCACGCCUCAGCCUGCUUUCUAAGCCUUGCAGAUUGACCACCCACCUCGCUGACAAUGCUUACACCUCCACGGUCAAAGUGGCAUGCACUGCACACAAUGGCAGUGCUGCAGGUCUUUCAAGUUAAGUCCCUGCAGUCCCUGGACAGCGGCGACAUGGAUGCAGACAUCAUGAAAGACCUGCAUGUUGCGACGGACUUAACGCUGUUGGCGACAAAGCGCUCUGCUCAAGCCAUCGGUCAUUCUAUGGGCUUAUGACAGUCCUUCUCAGGCACCUAUGGAUGACCCUAACUGACUUGAAGGACUAAGACCGUAAGGCGCUGCUCAACACUCCAAUCACCCCCUUCGGCCUCUUUGGUGACGCCAUGGAAUCAGUUAUCAUGAGUUUUUCUGAGGCGCAAAAGCGUGCAAAGGCAAUGAGUCACCUGAUGCCCCGGCACGCAUUCCAUUCACCAUCUAGAUCACGCUCCUCUUCUGGACCCCACUUCUCUCAGAACGGGUAAGCAGGCCACUGCAUCCUCCACGGCUCUGUCCUCGACAUAAGCCGGUUGCUGCUGCAAACAGUAGACGGGACCCGGGAAAAGGCGCCAUGGACAGAGGAGGAGCCCCGCCGUGACAGUGGACUGCCCUCGGCUGCCAAGCCCUCAUCCUGACAGACUGGCCAAGAGGAGGAGAGAGCUCACUGCAGGCCCGGCCCUCAAGCGCCGCAUCCUGCAUUAUGUCCCUCUUGUUCAUGUAGGCAACAAAUGCAAUGCUCAUGUUUGUUCAAUAAAAACACAAACAUCCUCACAAAAAGAGCUGUUUUCUCUUCAUAAUAUUGAUAUGGCAUUACUCGCCCUGCCUCAGAGCAGCGCAGAGCCGCUGUCUGUGCCUGUUGCGGCCUCACAGUGUUGUCGUCCAUGAGCCAUUUCCCCACCAGCGUGUUUAGCCUUGCCGGGGAAGGGCACCAGUCUAUGAACAUCAUUGCCAGUGAUAGCGACUGGAGAGAUUCGGUCCUAGUCCCUAGAUGCAUGGAGAGCUAUUCCAGGCAUUUCGUGCUGGGUGCUGAGCAUAAUAGAGCACGGAUAUUCCGUCCAGUUCAGAUGCAGACCCCCGUAUCAACGCCGUGGUUCCAUCACUGACACUGCCUUAAAAAUGCCCAUGUUUUGAGACAGGAGGUUCACAGCCUGCUCGCAAAAGGAGCAUUAUAGAGUCUCUCAGAGUGAGCUGGAGAGGGAGUUUUUUUCAGCUGCUAUUUGUGGUAACCAAGAGAGAUGGGGGACUCCGUCUGAUUCUGAACCUGAGACCCAUCAACAGAGCACUUCACAAGCAUGCAUUCGGAAUGAUGACUCUGAAGCAGAUCCUGGCACAAAUCCGUCCCAGGGACUGGUUUACAUCCAUAUAUCUAAAAGAUGCGUAUUUUCAUAUUCAGAUAGCACCAUACCACAGACGCUUUCUCAAAGUGCAUAAAUGCGGCACUUUCCCCUCUCAGAGCGAGCAGUAUGCUCAUUCUUAACUAUCUGGAGAAUUGGCUGAUUUAAGCCCAUUCACGAGAUGUGCUUAUCAGUCAUACGGACGUGAUACUUCGCCAUCUGGAGUCACUAGGGCUACGUGUGAAUAUGCAGAAGAGCAUGUUCACCCCGAGUCAGUCUAUAACAUAUCUGGGUGUGUGUUUCGACUCUGUGGAGAUGCGAGCCCGCCUCACUCAAUAGCGCAUAACAACCAUUUCAUCAGCUCUGCGCUGCUUCAGACCGGGCUGUUCUGUUCCCUUGAGGGAACUUCUGAGGCUUCUGGAACUAAUGGCGUCAGACUCAUCAGUUUGCCACCUGGGUCUUUUGCAUAUACUAAUGAAAGUGAAUUUUUCUUUAUUUUUUCUUGCGUUGACUGGCUUCUCACUAACUGGGUAUGUAAUUAUUCUUUUGAAAUGUGCUUGUGAUUUUUGAAUCUUAAUAUACUCGCACGUCUGAAGUAAAGUCCCCUUGCUUUUUUUAAACAAUUCAUUACUAAGAGUACACAUUUUUAUAAUAAGUUAACUUUUACAAAGUUUACAACUGUUUAUGUUAUGUUUAUGCUCAUGUUUUAACCUGCCCUGCCAUUUUGUUAGAGAAACUUAAGUUACAAAAAGGAAGUGCAGUACUGGGAAGUACUCUGUUCACAGAUUACUAGAUUUUACGAUGUCAUCAUGGUUUCAUACAACUUUCAUACUUGUUGUUGUUUUCUCUAAAUGAAGCUUUACACAAAGUUUAGCCUCCUAUUUUAUGAAAUUGUUUUAAGAGUAGUAGUAUUUUAUCAGAGUGUCUAUUUACACUAAGUGCCCGCCUUGUUGGCAGAGGCUAUUUAAACUAGCUCCACCCACAAUUGUGUUAUAGGGCUAGUCAACACUAUAAAAAUUGGCUAUUAGAUGUCAGCUUCAGUGGCAUAGAUAGUAAAGUGUGUAGAGUAGUGUUUUUAAUGUGAUCAACCCGGGUUUGAAUCCACCUUUUACCAAACAUUUUUUCCCUCCUUUUGAAAUCUCAUAUCACGCAUUUAUUUUCAAUAAAAUGAUAAUUUACACUCAAUAUGUUAUUACUGCAUACUGUUUUAUAAUACUGAGGUGCAGAUAAUUGCCACUAUUUGCAAUAAGUAGUAUAAAUAGCAGAAAAUCCUGCUAUUUUAACAGUGUAAAUAGAAUCUAUUGCUAUUUGCACUUAGUGUAAAUAGCAUCUAGCCUAUCGCUCUUUGCACUUAGUGUAAAUAGCAUCUAUUGCUAAGAAAAUAUGCUAUUUUCACAAUGUAAAUAGCAUCUAAUUGCUACAUGUAUGUACACUUAUUGUAAAUAGCAUCUAUUGCUAUUUGCACUUAGUGUAAAUAGCCUCUUUCGCUAUUUACACUUAGUGCAAAUAGCCUCUGCCUUAUUUUAUAUAGGUCAAAGAUGAAAAUGGGUAUUUCAUACAUUAGAAUGUGUCUUAAAUUUUCUGAGCAAA
rnacentral:lncRNA from 1 species